GAUGAAGAACGUAGCGAAAUGCGAUAAGUAAUGUGAAUUGCAGAAUUCAGUGAAUCAUCGAAUCUUUGAACGCACCUUGCACCCUUUGGCAUUCCGAAGGGUAUGCUCGUUUGAGUGUCAUUGUACUCUCACACUUCCGAUCUUUGGAUUGGGAGCGGUGGACUUGGGUGUUGCUGCUUACUGUGGCUCACCUCAAAUCGAUUCGUGCACCUCUUGGUUGGACAUAGUACGGCGUGAUAAGUGUCUUCGCCGGCACCUCAGUAGAGGGUGGCUGAUCGGGAGCUCUGCUUCAAACCGUCCUCGGACAACAACUGACAACUUGACCUCAAAUCGAGUAGGACUACCCGCUGAACUUAAGCAUAUCAAUAAGCGGAGA
rnacentral:misc_RNA from 1 species